rnacentral:miRNA from 1 species
GACAUCUGACUAGAUUUGAUUUUCAGAUAAAAAUCAACUAUUAUUUAAGUGUAAAGUAUAUCCCAUGCACUAUCUGGGACAUACCUAUGCUAAAAUCAUUUGUUGUUGAUGGUGAAGUUGUAGUUGAACCACGAGUUCCGCACU